CUAAGCUAACGGCGUUAAGCUAACGGAGCUAAGCUAACGGAGCUAAGCUAACGGAGCUAACGAGAAGGAGACAAUGUCCUGGAUCAGCGGUGAGACGUCCUGAUAUUUACCUUCUCCAACAUCCCCAGAUACCUGCAGCUUUGCUCCACACAUUUCAUUCUGCCAAACCGACGUGUGACAUGGAUGAGCUCCAUCCUGACUGGGUCCAGCGCUGAAUGAGGGUCACUGAGGUCAACGGCACAAUGUCGGACCGACAUGGCGUCAGUUAAAGAGGCGAAACCAUCAACAAGUUACUGAGACUGUUUUCAUGAUUUACCCCAGAAGAGAUAAAUGAUGAAAACACAGUAGAGGCAACAGAAGAGGAGCAGGUUGGAGAGACUGAGGAGGAAGAAACCAGGAGAGAAGAUCAGCUGCAGACUGAACAGGAACCAUUUGGGACCGAAGCUGGAACAAAGAGGUGGAGACGGCAAAUCGGUCCGUUCCUCUGCUCAGCAUGAAGGAUGGGAGUUUCUCAUGCUACGGUCAGAAAACCCAUUUCUAUGCUGCCGGAUCAGCCAGGAUGUCUCGUUUAGGCAGAAAACUUCAAACAGCUGAGCUACGCUGGACUUUGGAGCCUUAAUUCCCAGUUUAGGAACGAUGACGUCACGGCCCCGUGGCCCCCGGGGGCCGCCUGCCCUGGGUCUGGACUCCAGCUGGCACAGGCGCUGAGCGCCAAUCGCCUGGCCUCAUCCCGUAAACGGCGGCAGGUUUGCAGAACUACCUGACCACAGCACACCAACGAAGAAGAACUGUCCUCGUGAUCGGCAGCUUUCAAAACCGCCUGAAGCAACAAACCUGGUUUCAACACCUGCAGCUGAACCUCCAGCUUCCUGUUCUGACAGGAUGACGUCGCAUCCUCCAUAUUUUAUCUGAACGCUCCCUGUCCGCCUCCAUCUGCAAUUCUUUUGAUCCUACAUGUGACCCAACCUGAGACUAAAUGACUGAUUGGAAAACUUUCUUCUGGCUCAUCGUAUAACAUGAGGUCUGCAGGUAGUUAGUUAUGUUUAUCGCCUCAAUGCGGGUAAAUCCUCAAGAUUACAAGUCUUUUUCACAGUG